rnacentral:lncRNA from 1 species
AGAAGCUGUCCUGCUGCUGGAUUUUCCACACUUCAGCCCAUGCACUUUCCAUCUUCUUUUUCCCCUCUAUACAAGUGGAUUUCUCAUCCCUGCUCCAAGACUAAAGUGAUCCUCUGAGCCAGAGCCAUGUGCAAGAUCAGAAUGAAAGCUGAAGCCAGGAAACCUUCCUUGGGUUCAGGUUUCACGACAAGCCUGAAACUUGUUCCUGAGGGAGGUUUCCAUAUCUUUGGGGGGGGGGAAGGCUUUCUGGAUUUUGAGUUGUUACAGGAUGCCCCAAAUAAGGGGGAAAAAAAGUUAACAAGCAGAAGAAAACACAGUUUUAAUAGAGAUGUUUGAUAUUUUUUGACUGGAAAAAAUUCCCUUUGAAAAACACAGCUGUUGGAAAUAAUUGUUGUCGCCCCCCCCCCCCCACAAUGUAGGGGAUUUUUUUUAACUAGCAUUUUGCAUUUUUUUAUAUACUUCUCAACGGAAACUCUUCUGCAGUAGAUAACUUUCUUUAAUCUCAGUUUUCAAGAAGAAAAGGCUCUCUCAGAAUCCCAGUUCAAAGAGAGCUCUACGAGCUGAAACAAAAUUUUUCAUUCUGCCUUGAAACAUCCAGCCAGAAGAAGUGUUUCAGAGAAGUACUUCCAUUCAGAAGUUCUGAACAGGAAAGAAAAUGGUUCCUGGCUAGCUCUGCUGACCUAGACACAGCUCUGUCCUCCUCUGUGUGGGCUCCUAGCCAUGGGGCUUUGAGGGGCAAGUUCCUGGGCAUGGCCCCUACCCAGGACAUCACCUCAAGCUCUCAUCAGUGCUCUCCCCAUUUCUGUAACAGAAUGCUGCCUGAAGAACAGCUGGAAAGCUCCAGGUCUCUCUGCAAGGCACAGAUAAUGAACUGCACUGCUGCAGAUGCCAGACGGGACAGUGGUGCAAGGUGUGGAAGUGUAACUGGACCACGAACUCUACGUUCUUAUUUUGGAGCUAGUGGAAUAGGACAGACCUACCAGUCCUGAGCUUCAAGCUGCUGGAAUCAAUACCUUGCUUGAAAGAUUUAACACUUAUUUCUACCAAGCCUGGAAUUGUCAGCUGAGAUUUUCUCUACAGGAUAUUGUAAGUAGCUCUUAAAAUUCUUUAAUCUGGUCUGAGUGUAGAGUCCAGAGGAUGCGGUGCCCCACUUCUAAACUACUUCUGUGUUGGUGGUGAAGUUGCACACAUUUUAUCUGAGCUGUAUCUCUGCCUCCUGGAUAGAAAGCACAGUGCAAAUAUAUGUCAUUACAAUCAAAUGCAACAAGUAAAGAAACAAAAAAC